GAGAACAGCGAUCUGUAUUCCGAUUGGUCGGUCUUAUUUCCGAGGUCAGGUUCGGGUCAUUUGCCAAGAGGAGGAAUUUUGAAGUGCGCCAAUGUUUAUCGUUGCCUAGCGACAACGUAUAGACAUUACAAAGCCACAGAGGCCCUUUAAACAGGUCCAAUGUGGAGAAAAGAGAAGAUGAAACAGACGCAACUAGAAAGAAUUCAAAGAAAUAAAAGAGGGAAUUUAUCUAUAUAUUCUUGCAUAAUUAAAUAUCAAACGAGACAGGUUAAGAAUGCAUGCCUUGAGGCUCGUUUUUACACUUUGUAAUAUUGCUAGGAUUUUGGUGCGAGUUUCUUCUUUUGAUGGAUGUUAACGGUUCAUUAGUAAUGAAUGCUCUGAUGUAUAGGAGCUCGUUUUAAAACACACGUAAGUAAUUCGCUUGUUCACAUCUCUCCAAAGAAGAAAAUCGCACAUAAAAAUGAAGCAAAAACCAGAAGUGUAAACGGGCGUAAAAGCGUUACUUUGAAAAUAAUUUUCAAUAUUAAUUACUAUUGGCAGGCGAGAUCAAAGGCUGUUAAUUGGAGAUCAAUAUUCCGUUAGAAGCGUCUAGCCUGGAACGGUAGCAAAUGCCGUAUUCAUUCGAAUCUUAUCGGUGGAAACUUGUGUUUUGGGGUAUCUUGAAGAGUAAAUUACAUAUGGAAGUUGGAUAAUUAUACGAUACCAGCGGGUCAGGGGGAAUUUGAAGAAACUAAUUAGGACUCGACGAGAUGAGUGUAUGUAGUUGUUAACGACGAGCAGAGCUGUAACACUGUUUUACAUAUCAAUGUACGGCUUUGCAUUGCAAUAUCUCAUUUGAAGUACGUUUCAAUUUAUUAAACUUCUGAUCUAAUAGCGUUUGCAUGCAUGCUUUGUGACAAACUAAUCACAUGUAACUUUUCUCCUUGGCUCGAAAUUAUGGAAAAUUUGAAUCUUCGUUAUCUUUCAUUUGUUACUAUAUUUAGCACUGCAGCGUUGUGAAUUUCUAUAUUCCUCCCAGUCCCUUCUCGCAAGUGCGCGUUUCGGGAUGAAAAACACCUGUGAAAUGUCUGAAACGGUUUAAAAAAUUUUCCAGCCCACAGAGGGUAAAAAAUGAACUCUAUGUGUCACUGGGCAGGUGGAAAAUGUAAAAAUAAACAGUAGAGUAAAGUACACCUCAAGUUCAUCGCAUCCUGCCUCGAAUUUCGUGAGACAUUUAUGCAAAAAAGUGGUCAGUAAAACGACACCUGCCACCACCUUGCAUUUUCGCACACGUAGUAUGCAUGGAUGGAAUGUCAAAAUAAUGUGAAAUUUGUUAAAGUUGUGAGACUCGUGAGCAGUCUAAACGACGCUAUUUUGAAAAAACAUUUGAUGUUCUUAAAAUACUUAAAAACAGGAACACCUGUCGGAAUAGCUUCGAGUGUUCUCAGAGAACGUCAGCCAGCAGGUUUCGAUAGUUCGAUUCCUAUUUGAUAAGACAGUCAAUUUCGAAAUAUUUUUUACGUUUCCUAGCUGUAAUGUCCCGUCCUGAAGUUCGUUAGAAAAUCCAAAUGUUCGUUGUUAGGUUCAAAUCUUCAGUUCCCAUGACGUGCACAUAAAUUAUCCAAUCAAAUUGCGAUUAUGACUGGAUAAUUGAUGAACUUGGAAACAGAACAUUCGGGCAAUUUGGUAAUACACAUUUGAAUUGUCGAAUGUGCUUCGCAGCAUUGCGCGAGAAAACAUCCUAGGAUUGACUGUAAAUGUCCGUUUAGACUUGCAAUUUUCUACUUUCGAAAGAUGUGAAAGAGCGAGGAGUUAUAUGAAUGCUCUGAUAUAUUAAUGCCUAUAUUUGAGCAUCAGUAACUUGUUCACUAAUUCGCAUCUGUCGAAAGAUGCAAAAGUCACAAGUGUAAACAGAUAAAGAAUAAAGGCCCAUUUUACGUUCGAUUUUUUUUACUUAUUUUGGUAGAUCUAAACAAGUGAGUAAUUUCGAAUGUUCUGAUGUGUAGUGCCCCUAUUCGACCAACAGUAACUUAUCCGCUGGUUCACAUCGAUCAAAAGAAAUUUGCACAUGAAAUGGCAGCAAAAAUCGCAGCGACCUCUCAGUUUUACUAUUCCUUAAAUAUCAGUUCCUUGUCAUAUUGUCAUAAGGAACUUGGCCAUCUAAAGUUUCUUUUAACUGCUUCCGGUGUCGUGGUUUAUUGAGGCGUAUGACGGUAUUUCCGCCAUAUUCCGUCUAUGCGUAGUUUACAAUAUAACUGACUGAUUUUCAAACGGCCGAAUGACGCGUGGGUUGUUGUCUUGUGAUGCUGAUUUUUUGCACGUAUAUGACCUGCAGAUCAUUACAAGGUUAAGCAUUCCGUGAUUAGGACCCGGAAAAUGUCACUUUUUUAUCUUAUAUUGAAACCAAAGUGGGGGGAUUAAGGUGCGAAGCUUGUUGCCCUGAUAUCAAUAUAUAAUAGGGUGGUUAUACUUUUGAUGGAAAAACAACAAUAUAACCGGGUUCCCCACAUUUACUACAUAGCAUUACGACAGAGCAAGUGAUAGCGGGACCUUGUAAGAGUCUAGUCUUCGAGCGUUUCCAUUUUUUCUCGAUGUUCGCCCAUCUCAUUACUCCUCGCAUGCAUUAGAAAUUGAAGCUCAUUUAAUCAAAAGGUUAUGUCUGGAAUGUGAGCGAGGACAAGACUUUUGGUGAAGAUCCACGGCCCGAUAUUCUGUACAGUUCGUUGCGUGUGAUACACUGGUGCGUACGAAGCCGGGAUAACGUAACCUAUUGAAUUUGGUCACCCGAUUUUGAAGCUGGAAUAUUCUUAAUGAGGUCGGAUUUGUAAACGUGUCAAAUUCCGAGCUAAGCUUAAUCUCUACGUGGGGCUAUGAAUUGUUUACGAACGUGAAUAUGAAUUCAUGCCUUGAGUGCAAACCAUGACGUCACAAAGUGCCUAAAUGACUGCACGUUUAGCAAGCAAUAGAACAGCUGAAAGUUUGACUUGACGAGCAAACAAAUAUAUAUAUAUAUAACGUCAUACUACAAUGAAAUCUCUCAGUAUUCCACUCGAUUUUGGCAAAUAUUUCAAGCGCAGGACGCUUAAAAUGCAUUGCAAAUUUCAGUUAAGGCCGCAAGGGUUUUAAAAGGUAGUUAAAAGUUUAAAAACAAAAGCGAAGAAGAAAAAAAACUUCCGAAUCUGGUCAUUUCAGAAACAAGCCCCUAAACGUCACGACAAAGUAUAUAUAAUGUUAUUGCAAAAAAUGCUCAGAAACUUUGGCAUAUUCGAAAUACCCUCGGGAUUACGAAUUUCAAUCAAAGGUUAAAUUGUUAUAUUUACGACAGCAAUUUAUUUCAUAUCCAUGGGUGGGCUAAUAAGAGUAAAUGUAUGAAGCAAAUUUUCCUAUGCACCUGGUACAAAGUUACUAUCAAGGAAAUAUCUUUUCUUUUACAGCAACAACUAGAAACGUAUAGAACCUCUUUAGACAUCUUCGAAGCGGUAGAUUAGAUCUAAGUAGGAACCAUUCAAAUGGCCGCCCGGAAAAUACAAAGCAGAUGACAUGAUACGAUUACAAAUGCAAACUGUCUUGUGUUGUUGUUAUAAGGAGCGAGGUCGGGUGAGACUGCAUUUAGGCAAAGAGUUGAAACACUAAUGAUAUAGUUUGUUUAACAUCAUAUGCAUGUUUAUAUAUGAACUACAGGGUUCCCAAGUCAUUUAACUUUGUAGGAUCCAAAUGACUUCUAAUGGAUGUUUUAUAGUCUGCUGACUUGCUAUGUAUGUGGGCAGCAAAUCAACUUACACCAGCGAAGUUCUGCUUUUGGAAUAACUGAUUUAAUUCCAUACGAAGUGAAUUGGAUCCAGCAAAAUUGGAUCGUGUGAACAGAUCUUAAAAUGAAAUGCAUCGAUGAAACAAUUAAAGCACCGUUCAAGAACACUACUGUUAUUUAUAUAUAAUAUAAUGUACAUGCAAUUUUUGUUGCGAUUUCAGAUGCGAUUUUCUUCUUUAGAUAUAGAUGUGACUUAGAUAUAUGUGAACAAGUUAAUAAGUCGCUGAUGGUCAAAUAACUAUAUUUCCUCGUUCUCGUCUAGAUCACAACAAAGAGACUUUUUAAAGUGUCUGAUCCGAAACCACAAUUGUGUGAAAGGAGUUAUUAAUUUUGAGUCAUUUUAAUUUUAGUGUUACUUACAAUGCAACCAUAAACAUAUGUGGUGAUGAAACCUCGUGUCAGAAGCACUUUCUCUAUUUUGUCUAGAAUAAGGUCAGGUCCAAAAGCUAAAAGUUCUGUGAUAACAGCUGGAAGUUAAGUUUCAUUCAUCAUCCAGGUCGUCUGGUACCGCAGGCGAAAAUUCCUGGCUUGCAAGCAAAAUAAAUAAACGGAGCGUACCAUCAAAACACACAGCAAUUACUUGGAAGCCGCGAUGAUUAUAAUUUCUAUUUAUUAUCAUAAAAUGAUUAAAACCAUUAUGUAUACAUAUUAUAAUAAAUUUCUGGGUU